rnacentral:lncRNA from 1 species
GUUUCACCAUGUUGACCAGGCUGGUCUCGAACUCCUGGCCUGAAAUGAUCUGCCUGCCUCGGCCUCCCACAAUGCUGGGAUUGCAGAUGUGAACCACUGUGCCCGGCCCAGAAGGUUGAUCAUUAAUUACUUAAGGAGAUACCAGAGAAAAGUAAAAACCAACAUAAAGAAAUUUAAAAAAACCAAUUCAGGAUAUGAAUGAAAAAAUUUCUGGAGGGUAUAUAUCGUAAAGAAAAACUAAUCAAAACUUCUGGAAAUGAAAGCAUACUUAGGGAAUACAAAAUGUGGUGGAAAGUUUCAACAAUAGACUAGAACAAUUAGAAGAAAAAAUUUCAGAGCUUAAAGACAAGGCAUUUGAAUUAACCCAAUCAGACAAAGAUAAAAAAAAAAGACCAAAAGAAAUGAACAAAGUCCCCAAGAAAUAUAAAAUUAUGUAAAACAGCCAAACUUGAGAAUAAUUGGUAUUCCUGAGGGAGAAGAUAAGUCUAAAAGUUUGAAAAACGUGUUUGAGGGAAUAAUUGAGGAAAGCUUCCCUGACCUUGCUAGAGAUCUAGAUACCCAAAUAUAAGAAGCUCAAAGAACUUCUGGGAAAUUCAUUACAAAAAGAUUAUCACCUAGCCACAUAGUCAUUAGGUUAUCUGAAGUCAACAAGAAGGAAAGAAUUUUAAGAACUGUGUGACAAAAACAUCAGGUAACCUAUAAAGGAAAACCUGUCAGACUAACAGCAGAUUUCUCACAGAAACCUUGCAAGCCAGAAGGGAUUGGGGUCCUAUCUUUACCUUCCUUAAACAAAAUAAUUGUCAGCCAAGAAUUUUGUAUCCAGCAAAACUAAGCUUCAUAAAUGAAGGAGAGAUAAAGUCUUUUUUCAGACAAACAAAUGCUGAGAGAAAUUGCCACUACUAAACCAGCAUUAUCAGAAAUGCUAAAAAGAGUUUUAAAUAUUUAAACAAAAGCUUUAUGUGCACCAAAUUAGAACUUCCUUAAAGCAUAAAUCUCACAGGGCCUAUAAAACAAUAACACAAUGAAAAAAACAAAGUAUCUAGGUAACAACUAAUAUGAUGAAUAGAACACUAACUCACAUUGAGAGGUGAAGCCAGCUGGAUUUUUGGGUCGGGUGGGGACUUGGAGAACUUUUCUGUCUAACUAAAGGAUUGUAAACACAGCAAUCAGUGCUCUGUGUCUAGCUAAAGGUUUGUAAAUGCACCAAUCAGCACUCUGUAAAAAUGGACCAACCAGCACUCUGUAAAAUGGACCAAUCAGCAGGACAUGGGCAGGGCCAAAUAAGGAAAUAAAAACUGGCCACCUGAGCCAGCAGCGGCAACCUGCUCGGGUCCCUUUCCAUGCUGUGGAAGCUUUGUUUUCUCACUCUUCACAAUAAAUCUUGCUGCUGCUCACUCUUUGGGUCUGCACUACCUUUAUGAGCUGUAACACUCACUGUGAAGGUCUGCGGCUUCACUCCUGAAGUCAGUGAGACCACGAACCUGCCAGGAGUAACAAACAACUCUGUAUGCACCACCUUUAAGAGCUGUAACACUCACUGUGAAGGCCUGCAGCUUCACUCCUGAAGUCAGUAAGACCAUAAACCCACCGGAAGGAAGAAACUCUGGACACAUCUGAACAUCUGAAGGAACAAACUCUGGACACACCAUCUUUAAGAACUGUAACACUCACUGCAAGGGUCCGUGGCUUCAUUCUUGAAGUCAGCGAGACCAAGAACCCACUGGAAGGAACCAAUUCUGGACACAUUUUGGUGACCAUGAAGGGACUAUUGCCUAUUGCCAAGUGAAUCGAAGCCAUCAAGCUACAGAUGGUCUUAUAAGUGGAACCCCAAAUGAGCUCAACUAACAACUUCUACCGAGGACCUCUGGACCAACCUGCUGGCUCUUUCACUGGCCUAAAGAGUUCCCCUCUGGAGGACACUACAACUGCAGGGCCCCUUCUUCUCCCCUAUCCAGCAGGAAGUAGCUAGAGUGGUCAUUGCCCAAUUCCCACAGCAGUUGCAGUGUCCUGUUUAGAGGGGGGAUUGAGAGGUGAAGCUAGCUGGGCUUUUGGGUUGGGUGGGGACUUGGAGAACUUUUCUGUCUAGCUAAAGGAUUACAAACACACCAAACAGCACUCUGUGUCUAGCUAAAGGUCUGUAAACGCACCAAUCAGCACUCUGUAAAAAUGCACCUAUAAUCGCUCCUUGUCUAGCUAAAGGUUUGUAAACGCACCAAUCAGCAAUCUGUAAAAAUGCACCAAUCAGCACUCUGUAAAACGGACCAAUCAGCACUCUGUAAAAUGGACCAAUCAGCGCUCUGUAAAAUGGACCAAUCAGCAGGACAUGGGCGAGGCCAAACAAGGAAAUAAAAGCUGGCCACUUGAGCCAGCAGCGAUAACCCACUCUGGUCCCUUUC